AUAAAACCCUUUUGUAACUACAUUUUCUUAGCUUCAAUGAGAAAUAUAUUUAAUUUGAUUUUAGUUUAAUAAUAAGCACUUGACCACUUCCUUUUUAAAUUCAUAUGCUAACCGUAUUUAUUUGAAAUGUUCUAGGUGCAAUGCUCAAGAUUGUUGAAUACCCAGUUUGGUAGACACAAAUCAGACGUGAAUCACCCGAAUUGAAACCGUUAAAGUGUAGAAGUACCGACUCGCUUGGGCCUCUCAGCUGGCCCAAUAAUUUGACUUAUGGCUUACCUUUUGCCGUCUCGUCUGCCCCCCCUCACCCACGCACCACUGCACCACCGAAGCACCGCGUUUAUCCAUUCAUAACCACCGCUUUUGCCCUCGCCUUUGCCUCGACUUCCUUGGCGGCAAGUUGUUGGGGCAUGAGUAAUGUGAGGCGCAUUGCAGCCCGAUAAAAAGCUUAAAAUACAACUUACAUUCUGACAAGAUAUGAAUUUUAAGCGCGCGUCCCAUUGAUUUAUGUGGCAUUCAAAGGAAGCGUCUGACGGAGAUGGUUUUUUAAAUUGGAUUACUGGGAGUCACAACGACUCCGUCUGCGGAGUUUUCUGCCUGGCUUGCAUGCCAAGUUUGCGAUUAAAAAUACGUCGAGAUGACGGCUUAUUGAGCCACUGGCUCGUCUAAUUAAUUAGCGACUCCAGCAAAUAUCACUUCGCAUGGCGUAAGAUAAACAAGAUUGGAAAUCAGCAUGGAAAUAGUCUGGCGACGGAAGGGAAAACAAAGAGCAAAUAAACAAACGAAGGGGAAGUCCCCCGAUUUCGAUUGAUUGCGAUACGGCGUGGCGCCCCCUGGCGGGCAGCAAACCAAACAGACGGACGGUCGGAAAAACCGCAGAAUCUAAUUUGGAAAACGUAUGUAGAGUAUGUCGAGCAUGUGGAGUCAUCUGGCCAAGGGAGGGGCUCCACAGUCAACAAAUGUCCCGAGGGGUGUGUGCCACAACAUUCGAACUACUCGACGGGGAAUCCGGCGAAAGGUGAAGCCUGGAAAAAGGGAGGAGGGGGAAGGGUAAGGGGGGCCGGAAUGAAUGCGCAACAAUCAAAAUAUUUUCAUGACAAAUUUAAAACAACAGAGCCAUGAAGUGGAACACGUUGCAAGCGUUUGGUCAGCAGCAGACAUUUUCCGUAGAUGGGAAACAAGUUGUGCACAGGGAAAAAUUGUAAAACUUAAAGAAGGGAACUUUGAACCUUUCUCCUUGAUGUAAUAUUUUAAAGUUGCUUGAAUAUAAUUUCAAAGUCUCUCAAAAAAAAGUAUUGUUUUAACACAUUGAAUUAAUUUUAAAUAUUUUUGUUAGCAAUUACUAGCUCUAAGUUCGCUUCCCUAAAACCUUUCAAUUAUUUUCAAUUGUUUCAAUUAUUAACUAAAAUCCAAUUAAGGAAAAUAUCUUAUCAUUUUGGAGAGGGAAAUUUGGAAAAGUAAAUCCAAACAACAUUUUAUCACCACUUUAAAGUUUACAAAUUCACUUUUUUAUGGUUUAUUUUUUACUGUUCACUGUUCUCUUAUAACAUAUUUUAUGCUUUAUAUACAUAGAAAACAAUAGCAAAAUCAUGAAUUUAGUAUUGAACUACAUAUUCGAUUAGAUUGUUUUCUGUGCGGACUAGCCAAUCAUGCGGAAUGGGAAAAGGGAAUGGGUGGAUUGAAGACGGGAAGUGGCCAAGUCAUGACCGCAGUGGGGUGGCUCCUUGAGGAACUCUCGAUCCGUCAGGAAAACCCCCUUCUUUGGCAACAUUGCUAAUCCCCUCGACCGAAGAAGCGACACACGUGUCUGCGUUUACAAUUCAUUACGAACGCCUCGAACUUAAGCCCUUUUCCGACUUUUCCGACUUUCGGCUGACCCAAAGUCAAUUUUCAGGCCGACUUGCAGACGUUCGCCAGUUGACAACCCCAUUGUCUGGAUAACUGGGAUUCAGAAUGCAGAACGGCAGCUGGUCGAAAUGCAGAGCUGUUUGGCAAACUGUAAGCCACUUAAUCUCGGCGGCGGAAGAAAGAGACUCCCUUUCUCCGCAGAAAGGGCAGCCAGUCUUCAUCAUUACUUGCGCAUAAAUUAGGAUUAAAGGCGAGACACUGAAGAGGGAAAAAGGGAGUGGGUUCCACUUCUGCAGAAAUCAUAUUCGCAAUUUUGACCUUAUUUGGAUUUACUUGUGGGGAAUGCCGACUCAACUCCUUAUAAGGUUGGUCACUAAGGGACCAACUAAGAAGCAAUUGCCCAGCUCGCUUUUUCCUCCUAAUUUCGCAUCGCUAUAUUCAGCAUAUAUUUGCAGAAACCAACGAUGUUCCCCCAUUAUUUUUUCGCCACUAAUGCGACAGAAUGUUGCUAAAAAGCUCGCCCGUUAUGCAUUUUCCUGACACAUUCCAUAUUCGCAUUAGUUGCGCUGACAUUUCAUGUCAAAUUAGUGACAUUUAGUGUCAUGAAAGUGCGCAAAUUUGCCAGCCAAAUGGGGGAACUUAUAUUUCAAAAAGAAGUAUUAUUAGUGGGGUGACUUCAUGUCGUGUUGUCAUGCCAAAAAAGUCUUAUGUGAUAAUACAAAUGAUGGAGGAAAAUAGAGAAGGGGAACCAUUAAUGUCAUCUUGUAUUUGUUUUAGCUCUGCAAAGAAGUUAAUCUCUUGAAUUUGUUUGAGAUAUUCUAUGUAGUUUUUAGUUCUGAAUUCUUUAACCAUUUUUCUAAUCUUUAAAUGUAUGCAUAAACCAAAGACCGGCAUGGAAAACGUAUAAAACAUUAUUUUAUCAACCCAAUCGGUGUUUUUUUUUUACAAAACCAUGGAAAAAUAAACCCGAAACGGAAACUUUUUGCCUUGUUCCAGUGACAGUUGCAAACAUUUUCGGUGCCUUCUUUUUCGGCGAUGUUUGUGCUGGGUAUUAUUAUUUUUAUUUUCAUUCUGAUUGUCACAACAGCAGCGGAGCAGCCCAAACUGGUUUUCAUUUUGUUUGUUAUUGUUAUUGCUGUCGGAUGCAUUGUUGUUGCUGUUAUUUCUGCUGUUGCUAUUGUUGUUGUUGCGGUAGUCCUCUGUUAAACAUGUUUGACACGGACUCUCGUGGGAUAACCCAGCGGGAACCCAGCGGGAAAGUGAGAAGUAGGUUUUUUAUUUGAGUGGAAAACCUCCUUCUUUUUAGCAGGCGUAGGGGUAGGGAUAGUUGAAAACCUACUUCUUUUUAGCAGGCAUAGGUAAGGGAUAGAAAAUUUCGGACCGCUAAAUGGGGUGGGUUUCUGAAUAUGACCAUAAGUUACAACGAAGUUGUGACUAAUUAUUGUCUUUGUCUUUGUGAUGCACGGUCACAUCAGCAUAAAAUUUCGUGCAAAAAGUGUAAAAAGUGAAAAAAAGUUGUGUUAAUCUUAAAAAACAAGAUAAAGGUAAGUUAUAACAUAAAUAUUUUUGUUUGUAUUUCCUUAUUUCAGCGUUACGGAUAUGGUGAGCAUAGGCAUUUUUACUAAAACUAAAUAUAAGCCGCCAGAGGCGGUUGUCAAGUAGGUAAGUUUUUUAUUUAAAUUUAUUUUUCAGUUUUUCAAGAACAAACAAUGUUUUUUCUAGAAUUUGUAAUAGAUUCGACUUCAAAGAUUCUGGCCCUUGUGUUAAUAUUAACGGCAAAACUGAACGUGCGCAAGCGGACAUUCCGAUUUCGUCAUUUGAAGAACUCGGCCAUUUGGACUCCGAUGCCGAAGCCAAUCCAGAAGCAUUUAGUCACUCAGAAACGACAAUUACAGUCUUACCCAAUAUCAAGAUGAUCUGCGUUCACCGUUCACUAAGGCAAA